UACGUAGGGGGCAAGCGUUGUCCGGAUUUAUUGGGCGUAAAGAGCGUGUAGGCGGCUUUACAGGUCCGUUGUGAAAACUCGAGGCUCAACCUCGAGACGCCGGUGGAAACCGUAAGGCUAGAGUCCAGAAGAGGAGAGUGGAAUUCCUGGUGUAGCGGUGAAAUGCGCAGAUAUCAGGAGGAACACCGGUGGCGAAGGCGGGUCUCUGGGCCGAUAUUGACGCUGAGGAGCGAAAGCGUGGGGAGCGAACAGG
rnacentral:rRNA from 1 species